rnacentral:rRNA from 1 species
UACAGAGGUCCCGAGCGUUGUUCGGAUUCAUUGGGCGUAAAGCGUGCGCAGGCGGUGCUGUAAGUCAGAUGUGAAAUCCCCGGGCUCAACCUGGGAACUGCAUUUGUGACUGCAUCGCUGGAGUGCGGCAGAGGGGGAUGGAAUUCCGCGUGUAGCAGUGAAAUGCGUAGAUAUCGAGAGGAACACCUGCGGCGAAGGCGGGUUGCUGGGCUGACACUGACGCUGAUGCGCGAAAGCCAGGGGAGCGAACGGG